CCUAAAGAGAGUUCACUCAUCAGGUCAAAGUUGGUCUGUCCUGAUGGCACUACCUGCUGCUUGAUGAUGUCUAGUAGCCAUCGCUGCUGCCUUCAACGCGGUAGUCCUCACAAAUAAACUGAUAUCAAGAAUUAACAUAGAUGGUGAUGGUGGCAAGUGUGCCUUCAGAAGGUGCCACCCAGCAGUCCCAGCCUGCUUUUGCAAGUCCGAUGGGGGAUGAUCUAUGUUAAGGUCGUGUAAGCAAGAAGGCAAGUGCUGCUGCAGGCAAUGUUGCGAUAAGCCUGCAACAGAUAUAGCCGGCCUUCUAAAAUCCAAGAAUGAGGAAUGCCUGAAACAAGGAACAACUCGGCAGUGUAUGUGAACGUGUUUACCUGUGUGUGUAUGAGUGUGCAUGUGAGGGUAUGCGUGUGAGUAUGUAUGUGUGUGGGAGUGUAUGAGUGGUGGGUGUGUGUGUGUGUACAACUUGUGCUCUGAUUGUGCACCAGUUUGCUCAUGGUUAUGUGUUAGCCUGUACACUUUUUGUUUUGUUUUAGGUGGGUGAAUAUUUAUAUAUGUAUGGGUGUGUGCUGUAAUGUAUGUGUUUGUGUGUAAAUCCGUUGAGUUCAUAUCAGAUGAGGGCAACACCAUGCCAGUUUGAUCAUGGUUAUGCGUUUAAAUGUAUGUGACUACACCUGUAUGUAUGCUUAUGUAUAUUAGCCUGUAUGCUUUUUGUUUCGUUUUAGGUGGGUGAAUAUGUGUAUGGGUGGGUUGUUUUGUUGCUGGUUGUCUUUAAACAGUAAACUUGUUUAAAAUA